rnacentral:lncRNA from 1 species
CUCAAAAUCAUUUUUAUUUAAUGAUUUUUGACUUCCACUGGUACAGUUGUCAGGAUUAAUAAGAAUAGUAACAGCUAAUAUAUAUUUGUUUACAAAAUAUUUUAAAAUUUGUUGUCUUCUUUGGCUUCCAAAGCAACUGUGAGGUAGAUUGGACCAAUAACAUUGUUAUCCCAAAGCAGAGAAGAUUCUGAGCAGAGAAAUUCAGUGACAUGCUUAAAAUCACAACAGGAGGAAAUUGUUCAGGGGUACUGCUUCAGUCCUGAUGAUUGGACUCAGAAUCCUGACCCCAUUCAGCUAUCUGGAAAUAAUUUCAGCUGCCAUUGCUACUGAAUCUGAUUCUGUAUCACCAAGAACUGCAUACAUUACAAAGGUGGAAUAUUUCCUUUUUUCUUUCAAUAUUCCUCCUUCCCAUCAAUUUUACUUGAUCUUUUUUUAAGCUACUCUGGUACAUUAAACCAGUAUCCUUUUAGAGAAUAGUAGGCAAUUCCUCCCUUUUUUUCUUACUGUAGUCUGAGUUAUUAGCUUAUAAGAAAAUUAAAGUAUUUCUGUAAGGGACUCUGUCCUUAUUAAGGUUUGGUGAAAAUAUUCCUGUCCAUUUACACAGACUAGCAGGUUCUGUGAUUUGCAUUAGUGGCCUUUCACUAGUCAGAAACAAGUGUCAUCUGCAUACCUUAUAUCUCACUAUAUAUUUACACGAUAAUUUGUGACAAAGGUUAAGCAAGGUAAGUCAUGCACUGAUAAUCUGAGGAAUAAUAGUCAGAUUCCUCCAUUCACAGCCCAUUUAUCCUUGCCUCUGAUCCAUUCCCAUUCCUGUACAACCCAGCUUUCCUGCAUUUACUCAGAGCUCUCAAGUCUUCACUGGUGACAGAACUAUUAAGACCGUUCCCUAUAAAGCAUCCUUGCAUAAUUCCAUGUUCGCAGGAACUACCAUCAAUUAGGUGGACAGCCACUCCUUCAGGACUCACUAAGGCUGCAUUGUCCCACACCCAUGUACCACUCAUUGGUCAAAACCAAUUUCAGCCAUUCCUUAGCUAACCACGUAGUCAUCUCUCCUGGAAGCCCUCCCAGAACACCUAUCGGUACCACCCUCUACUCUUCCUCGUGUGUGGCACUUGUUUGCUCUUCCUCAUCCUGUGACCACUUUGGCUCCUGAUUCAGUCUUCCCUGACACUUCUGACACCUGAUUCAGUUCUUUUCUGUUGUGAGGGAUGAUGCCCUUCCUUGUUCCAAUUUCCAAGAAAGGGUAAGAGUAACUAGUAAAUAGGAAGUACUGGUAAGUGGUGUAAUGAGUUAGCUCUUUGUGCUUCCUCCCUAAAGUCCCUAUUAUUAUUAAACAUAUUUGAAAUCUCAAGGUACUGGCACUGAAUCACUUAUCAUUUCAUUUAUGUACAAUCAAGUGCUUGCUUAACCCUGGAAGAGGCAGAGAUCAUGAGCUUUGCAGUCAGUAAGAGAUGUGUUCACAUCACUUACUAGUAUGAAACCCUCAGCAGGACACUUACCUUCUCAAAACCUCAUUUUCCUUGUCUGUAAAAUAGAGAUAAUCAUCCUGACCUCACUUAGUACAGUGCCUCGUUUAGGAUGAAGGUCAGAAAAUGUUAGCUAUUGUUAUUUACACAUGACUGUUAUUGGCAUUUAGAAGGGAUUAAAUCCUUGGAAUUAUUCUCAGUCCUCAUAUGCCUCAUGACCAGGACCGCUGCUCUCCACACCAUGGGAGUUAAUUGUACAGAAAACAGAACUAUCUUUGCUAAAGUGGAAGAAGGAAGCCUUAUGUAAGAUCGCCGUACAGAGCUUUUGACCUUGCCAGGCUUAAAUGUCACAAUCGGGCAGUAAAUGAUUAUUUACCAGUCAGAAUUACUCUGGAAAUAAGUGUUGUUUUAAGGCAUGGACACCUGUCUAUAAGAAUUCAGAGUCUUCUGACAAUGUACAGGAUGGUUUUCACAUUUCAAAACUUCUGAGUUUUGACUUAGUCCUGAAAGGUGGGAUUUGGUUAUGUGUUCCUUUUACAUAUCUUGCAAAAACUUGAGUCAAAUUCUGCCCUAAAUUUCAAGAUGAAAGCUGCUGGCUAAUUUUCCCCAAGACUGAAAUACAUAUAACUAAGAUAUUUUCCUGUUUUUCUUCCUCUGCCAAUUAGCACCAAUACAGAUGAAAAACCUAAAGAGAAUACCCAUUUAAGUCCUUAAGAAGACAGCGGCAUACAACCUCAAACUCUGCAAACAAAUCAGGAAAACAGCAGGUACCUACUGUACAUAUCGAAUUCAUAAUGUUGUCAGGAACUCAAAUACUGAAAAUGAGAACAGGAUUUGCACAUGAUGAUGCUCUAGUUGCAUCACUGGUACCAGGGGAGUUAGAAAGUACUUCAGGAAGUGGAAAGGCCUUGGUGGUUGUUUUUCUUGGGACUCUGGUUGCUUCCAGGGAGUUGGGUGAGGACUGUCAGCGCUGUGCCCAGGCACUGUUUUCACAAAGCUUUCCGCAGGUUUGUGCAGUGAUGCCACGAACCUUUGAGAAGGAAGCUUUCGUUUUCCUUGUGGAACCCAUGCAUUUGCCACUUGGGUGUGCCUCCCAGUCCCCCACUUCCCUUCAAUGUGCAGUGUCACCUCAGGAUUCUGAGGAGACUCUGGACUUCCCCUCCUCUGCUUCCCCACUCUCCCUGAAUUCUCUGCCACAGCUGGCCUCCCGACUGCUCUGUCCUUUCUAUCUGUCCCCCACAGAGGCUUGUCACCACACCUCAUUCCUGCAAUCCAGGAAUUCAGAUACCAGCUUACUAGCAUAGCUGUUGUCCUGAAUGUUCAGCUGUUUGCUACAGGAUUGGGGUGAAAGGGAAAUUAUACUACAACCCAAAGUGGCACACAACUUAGAAUUGAAUAUUAGAAAUCACCAAACUAAAAAAUAAAGUUUUACUGCAACACAUUCUCACCCACUGUCAGCCUACUUACCACUACAACAGCUGAGUGAAUAGAAGCCACAGAGAGGGCAGCCACCGUGGCUCAGCAGUUUAGUGUUGCCUUCAGCCCAGGAGACCUGGGAUGGAGUCCCACGUCAGGCUCCCUGCAGAGGGAGGCUGCUUCUCCCUCUGUCUCUCUCUCUCUCUCUCUCUCUCUUCUCCCUCUGCCUGUCUCUCUCUCUCUCUCAUGAAUAAAUAAAAAAAAAAAAAGAAGAAGCCACAGAGACCUUGAGACUGUAUGAUUGUCUCUGCAAAAGUUAACUUAAAAACUAUUUCACAAGAGGGCUUAAAAUAACAUUUAAUUUCUCCUCAUUCCUGCCAAGUGACUUUCCCAAACAUUUUACUACCUUUCUUCCAGUUUAGUUGCAAUAACCUGGCUCAGAAUCCACUUACUCAAGAAGCUCUAAGUGCUCCAAACCAAAAUGAUGUCUUUCUUUAAAACUCAAAGCACUUGCUGUCUAUAACAAUAUUUUAAAAGCAAACUAUUUCCUCUUAAGUACUCAUUAUCAAAAACAUAGAAAAUGAAGAAAAAUAUAAAAAAUAUAAGAAUUACCUGAAAUAGCCUCCACCCACUGGUUAGUAUUCUUAAGCUUCUUUGCAUGUUGUUUUACAUUUGCAGGAUUAUAAAGAGAUCAUAUUGACUGUAUAAUAUUGAAUUCUGAUUUUGUUUUCACCAAAUGACAACCGUUUCCUUUAUAAAAAACUUAUAUCCUAUAGUAGUCAGUAUUUCAUUUGUUAUUUUGCCUAUUAACACUAUUGUAUUCAUUUGCUCAUUCCUGCAUUCUUCAAACAUGCAUUAGUUAUUUAUAAAAUGUACCAUAUAUUGUGCUUCUAUCUUUUUUCUCAUGUGCUAACUUAUGAGUAAAGGCUCACUUUUUAAAUUUCCCUAAAUUUCUGAAUAGAGACUUAAUCAAAUGAGAAGUGUAAAUAUUUGAGAGAAAAUUUAUCAGAAAUUCAUUAUAACUAACCAUUUAGAAUUUUUCUCUUACAUCAAGGUAUGGGUCAAAUUGUGUACAUUGACUGUGGAUCAACUUUUAAUAAAAUGGGAGGAAGUCAUUAAUGAAUUUGUCUCCAAUCUCCUUCUAAGACUGGAAUUUUGGCCAUUAGUUCUACAGGAGAAAGGUUGAUCAUGUGGUAGACCAGGAGUGAGUCACAGUCUGUAGCUUGCUUAAGACCUGGGCACCCAGGGAUCCCUGGGUGGCUCAGCAGUUGAGCGUCUGCCUUCAGCUCAGGGCCGGAUCCUGGAGUCCCGGGAUCAAGUCCCACGUCGGGCUCCCUAUAUGGAGUCUGCUUCUCCCUCUGCCUGUGUCUCUGCCUCUCUCUCUCUCUCUCUCUCUGUGUCUCUCAUAAAAAAAUAAAUAAAAUCUUAAAAAAAAAAAAAAA